UGGGAUUAACAUCAAAUACUAUUAGCCCCA
rnacentral:piRNA from 1 species